rfam:Arabis alpina cultivar Pajares scaff_54767_1_contig_0, whole genome shotgun sequence.
GGGUGCGAUCAUACCAGCACUAAUGCACCGGAUCCCAUCAGAACUCCGCAGUUAAGUGUGCUUGACGAGAGUAGUACUAGGAUGGGUGACCU